CGUUUAGGGGUAAACCUGAGAAACCCGAAAGGUCGAAGGAAGAAAUUCAUUCGUGUUUCGUUGAUUAGCAAUAAGUGGAAUUUGUUGUGACGUGUUAUUAUAUCUUUAUAUUAACAUGCACCGUCCAUUUAUUUGAACUGAUUACGAACGCGUGCACUUUUCUUCUGGUAGGACGUCGCGAUCCGUUGAGUGUUUGUCUACGAUUAUUGUGGUGGAGAUUAUUUGUUAAAUUUUCGGAUUUUGAUAAAUAAACCCAUAUAAUCUGGCUAACUUGCUCGACGGUAUAAUUGAAUGGUUAAAGGCCGCUAAUUUAAUUUAGCGUUCAACUUAUUACAAGCGCGCUAGAUGUAUGUUGAUAAUCGGACCUAGUGCCGAUUUUGACCUCUAGUGACUGUUGGUAAUAAUGUUCUUGAACAGACCUUUAUAUUUUUUAAAUAAAACCAAUCAGCGACGCUAUAGCUUUGGGUAAUUUCAGGACCCGUCUUGAAACACGGACCAAGGAGUCUAGCAUGUACGCAAGUCAUUGGGAUUUUUAAUAAAAACCUAAAGGCAUAAUGAAAGUAAAAAUUUUUCCUUGUGAAAAAUUAAGGGAAGACAGGUAAUAUUGUCGUUAAAAACAUAUUACUUUGCAUUCCCGGGGCGUUUCAUUCUUAUUGUUAGAAGAGGCGCACCAAGAGCGUACACGCUGGGACCCGAAAGAUGGUGAACUAUGCCUGGU
rnacentral:rRNA from 1 species